CUGGCGGCAGGCUUAACACAUGCAAGUCGAACGGUAGCAGGAGAAAGCUUGCUUUCUUGCUGACGAGUGGCGGACGGGUGAGUAAUGCUUGGGAAUCUGGCUUAUGGAGGGGGAUAACGACGGGAAACUGUCGCUAAUACCGCGUAUUAUCGGAAGAUGAAAGUGCGGGACUGAGAGGCCGCAUGCCAUAGGAUGAGCCCAAGUGGGAUUAGGUAGUUGGUGGGGUAAAUGCCUACCAAGCCUGCGAUCUCUAGCUGGUCUGAGAGGAUGACCAGCCACACUGGAAUUGAGACACGGUCCAGACUCCUACGGGAGGCAGCAGUGGGGAAUAUUGCGCAAUGGGGGGAACCCUGACGCAGCCAUGCCGCGUGAAUGAAGAAGGCCUUCGGGUUGUAAAGUUCUUUCGGUAUUGAGGAAGGUUGAUGUGUUAA
rnacentral:rRNA from 1 species